rnacentral:rRNA from 1 species
AGCGAACGCUGGCGGCAGGCUUAACACAUGCAAGUCGAACGGGCUUCUUCGGAAGUCAGUGGCAGACGGGUGAGUAACACGUGGGAACGUGCCCUUCGGUUCGGAAUAACUCAGGGAAACUUGAGCUAAUACCGGAUACGCCCUUUUGGGGAAAGGUUGACUGCCGAAGGAUCGGCCCGCGUCUGAUUAGCUUGUUGGUGGGGUAACGGCCUACCAAGGCGACGAUCCGUAGCUGGUCUGAGAGGAUGAUCAGCCACACUGGGACUGAGACACGGCCCAGACUCCUACGGGAGGCAGCAGUGGGGAAUAUUGGACAAUGGGCGCAAGCCUGAUCCAGCCAUGCCGCGUGAGUGAUGAAGGCCUUAGGGUUGUAAAGCUCUUUUGUCCGGGACGAUAAUGACGGUACCGGAAGAAUAAGCCCCGGCUAACUUCGUG